AAGGGGAGGGCAAGUCGUAACACGGUAAGUGUACCGGAAGGUGCACUUGGAACAAACCCCAGGGUAUGGCUGAACCAGUUAAGCAUCUCCCUUACACCGAGAAGAUAUCCAUGCAAGUUGGAUUACCCUGAGCCAAACAGCUAGCUUACAUAUCAACAUAAUCAAACAACAUAAAUAAAAUAAAAUAAGCCAAGCACCAAAAACUAAACCAUUCUUUUACCUGAGUAUGGGAGACAGAAAAGGUUCAACCUAAAAGCAAUAGAAAUAGUACCGCAAGGGAAAGCUGAAAGAGAAAUGAAAUAACCCAUAUAAGCACUAAUAAAGCAAAGACUAAGCCUUGUACCUUUUGCAUCAUGAUUUAGCAAGUAGAUACAAGCAAAGAGACCUUUAGUUUGAAACCCCGAAACCAGAUGAGCUACCCCGAGACAGCCUAUUUAGGGCCAACCCGUCUCUGUAGCAAAAGAGUGGGAAGAGCUCCGGGUAGAGGUGAUAGACCUACCGAACCUGGUGAUAGCUGGUUGCCUAAGAAAUGAAUAGAAGUUCAGCCUCAUACACCUCAAGCCGACAACAUAAUUAAAGACACAGAGAUAAACAUGAGAGUUAGUUAAAGGGGGUACAGCCCCUUUAACAAAGGAUACAACCUUAUUUAGAAGGAUAAAGAUCAUAAUACACAAAAUAUACUGUUCUAGUGGGCCUAAAAGCAGCCACCUAAACAGAAAGCGUUAAGG
rnacentral:rRNA from 1 species